UUCGCAAUGCCCGAAAGGGUGACGAAGCGACGCCGCGUGCGGGAAGAAGGCCUUCGGGUUGUAAACCGCUGUCGGGAGUUAAGAAGUGCAAGGGUGUUAAUAGCAUCUUUGCUUGACUAAGGCUCCGGAGGAAGCCACGGCUAACUCUGUGCCAGCAGCCGCGGUAAUACAGAGGCGGCAAGCGUUGUUCGGUAUUAUUGGGCGUAAAGAGCACGUAGGUGGUUUUGUAAGUCAGAUGUGAAAGCCUUCUGUUCAAAGGAAGAACGGCAUCUGAAACUGCGAAUCUUGAGUGUAGGAGGGGAGAGUGGAACUUCUGGUGGAGCGGUGAAAUGCGUAGAUAUCAGAAGGAACGUCGGCGGCGAAAGCGACUCUCUGGCCUAUUACUGACACUGAGUGUGCGAAAGUUAGGGGAGCAAACGGGAUUAGAUACCCCGGUAGUCCUAACUGUAAACGAUGGGCACUAAGUAGAGGGGUUUU
rnacentral:rRNA from 1 species